rnacentral:rRNA from 1 species
UAGAGUUUGAUCAUGGCUCAGGAUGAACGCUAGCGACAGGCUUAACACAUGCAAGUCGAGGGGCAGCGGGGGAUGCGUUCGCGCAUUCUGCCGGCGACCGGCGCACGGGUGAGUAACACGUAUGCAACCUGCCCCGUCCAGGGGGAUAAUCGGCGGAAACGCUGUCUAAUACCGCGUAUAUCGGUACCGGGCAUCCGGGAUUGAAGAAAGGGCCUUAGGGUCCGGGACGGGAUGGGCAUGCGGCGCAUUAGGAAGUUGGCGGUGUAACGGACCACCAAUCCGUCGAUGCGUAGGGGUUCUGAGAGGAAGGCCCCCCACACUGGUACUGAGACACGGACCAGACUCCUACGGGAGGCAGCAGUGAGGAAUAUUGGUCAAUGGGCGGGAGCCUGAACCAGCCAAGUCGCGUGAGGGAAGAAGGUACUGAGUAUUGUAAACCUCUUUUGCCAGGGGACAAAGGCGGCCACGGGUGGCCGUAAGAGGGUACCUGGAGAAAAAGCAUCGGCUAACUCCGUGCCAGCAGCCGCGGUAAUACGGAGGAUGCGAGCGUUAUCCGGAUUUAUUGGGUUUAAAGGGUGCGCAGGCGGCGUGUCAAGUCAGCGGUAAAAUGUCGGGGCUCAACCCCGGCCGGCCGUUGAAACUGGCGUGCUCGAGUUGGAGAGAAGUAUGCGGAAUGCGUGGUGUAGCGGUGAAAUGCAUAGAUAUCACGCAGAACUCCGAUUGCGAAGGCAGCAUACCGGCGCUCAACUGACGCUCAUGCACGAAAGUGUGGGUAUCGAACAGGAUUAGAUACCCUGGUAGUCCACACAGUAAACGAUGAAUACUAAUUGUUCGGGGGAGAAUGAUCCCCUGAGUGAUACAGCGAAAGCGUUAAGUAUUCCACCUGGGGAGUACGCCGGCAACGGUGAAACUCAAAG